CUGCCUUCUGCAUCCUGUUGGUCCUCACCCUCCCUGUGAACCACCAGCUCAGCCUCUCCACCUUCCUGGCAGCAGGCAGCAGACACUGUUCCAGGGGUCAGAGUGGCGUCCAGCAUCAGCAGCUUGCCACGUGAACGCAGCGCCUGCCAUCCUGCCUCCCUGCCUGAAGAAUUGUAAUCCAGGAUCCCUGUGGGGUUAGGAAAACACAUUUCUCCAGGAUGGCCUGAAGGUGGCGCUGUUGCAGCUGGUCCGUGACAGACCAUCUUUCUCUGUCCAGUUCUGCACAUGGGAAGUGGCCACCCCAGUCUGAAGGGACACUUCCUGCUGUUCCAUCAUCACCUUGCUGGACAGAACCUUAUUGCCCAGGCGCUCAUCCCUGAUCCUUUGGCUGGAGCUCAGGAACUCGCCCCUGGUUGGAGGAAGGAACAGCUUUCUGACAAGUACCAUGUAGGUACCUGGAUGCCCCCAAAAUAUGCCUCCACUCUGACAUCACUCGUGAUCUUCACAGACACUUCCAACUCCAACUUGAAAAAACUGGACACAGGAUCUCCCCUCACUAACUUGAUCCUUCUCUGGGGGUUCUCUGGUUCAAAAAGAGACCAUCAUAUUCCCAGGUGGGCAAGUCAGGGGCCAGAGGUCCCUUGACUCCUUGUCUCUCACAUCUCACACACCCAAUUGCUCACGAAGUCCAGUUGAUUUUAUCUCCAAAAUAUUUCUAGACUCUGUCCACUUUUGUCCAUCUCUAUCACCACCACCCCGGUUUAAAGAAUUAUCAUCUUUCAUCUUGUUGCAGGUGCUUUGCCACCCACCAACCUUCAGCACCCUGCAGCAUUGACCUUUAGCAAAGGUGAAGCUAAUCAAGUCAUUCCCCUUCCAGAAACUCCUACAGGACCGACAAGUCUCUGCAUAGUCUGAGCACUGCCCACCUCACCAGCCCAUCACCAGCUGCUCCUUUCCUUAUGCCUGGGACUCCUGGCUCACUGGCCCCCGUCCAGCUCCUGGAGUACAUCAUGUGCCGUCCUGCAUCAGUGUCUGUGCACAUUGUUGCCUCUUCUACCAGGGCCACUGCAUCACACGACCCAGGAGCACAGUGAUUCUGUGGUAAUGGCGCCCCUGGAGUUGUGCAGUGGAGCAGAUCUUACCACUUGGCCUUCUCCCAGCUCAGGUUCUCGCCUUCAGAACUCAGCUCAGCACUGCGUUGAAAGUCUCUCGUGAUCCGACCAGGUCAGCUGCCUGAUGCUUGCUUCCAUUAUUACUAAUUCUGUGUGGCACUCACCCCAGUGCUAAACACAUCAUUCAUUGUAUAAUAAUUUUAAGGCAGCUUCAUUGAGAUAUAAUUUGUAUAUUUGUAACAUUCACCCCUUUCUGGUGUACAGAUCUAUGAGUUUGCAGAAACAUACAGUUGUGGUACCAGCACCUCAAUCAGGAUAUAGACUAUUUCUACACCCCAGAAAGUUCUCUCAUGACCCCCAGGGUGAACCCCCACACACACACCCAAGUUCCUAGAACCACCGUUCAGAUUUCUAUAACAACAGUUUUGCAUUUCACAAAAUGCCAUAUAAAUGAAAUCUAUAGUAUGCAGCCUUUUAAGUCUGGCUUCUUUCAUUUAGUCAUUGUAUUAUAAUUUGGUGUAUGUAAAGCUCUAUACAGUGAGGGACCAGAUCUAAGUUAGUAGCUACCACAUCACCAAAACCUACCAUGGGGCUUCUCAACGUUUUUUUCCUUCCAUUAUUGCUCCUCUAAGGAGAAAAUUUUAAUUUAAUUUAAAUUCUCGAGACGCCUGGGUGGCUCAGCGGUUGAGGUUCUGCCUUUGGCCCAGGGCGUGAUCCCGGAGUCCCAGGGUUGAGUCCCACAUUGGGCUCCCUGUAUGGAGCCUGCUUCUUCCUCUGCCUGUGUCUCUGCCUUUCUCUCUCUGUCUUUCAUAAAUAAAUAAAAUCUUUUUUAAAAAAAAAGAAGAAGA
rnacentral:lncRNA from 12 species